rnacentral:rRNA from 1 species
UACGUAGGGGGCAAGCGUUGUCCGGAUUUAUUGGGCGUAAAGAGCGUGUAGGCGGCCAGACUGGUCCGUUGUGAAAACUCGAGGCUCAACCUCGAGAUGUCGAUGGAAACCGUCUGGCUAGAGUCCGGAAGAGGAGUGUGGAAUUCCUGGUGUAGCGGUGAAAUGCGCAGAUAUCAGGAAGAACACCUAUGGCGAAGGCAGCACUCUGGGACGGUACUGACGCUGAGACGCGAAAGCGUGGGGAGCGAACAGG